rnacentral:lncRNA from 1 species
UUCCAAACGAAUAAACUCUCCCACCUUCUGCCGCCUAACACUGUCAGGGAAAUACUUCUUGUAGAAAGCCUCCCUAAAUUGUCUCCAUGUUAUGGGUCCCUGAUCCUCCAAAAGUCUCCUAGUCAUACGCCACCAAUGAUCUGCCUCUUUAUCUAACAUAAAAGCUGCAUAAGAGGCUUUUUGCUCCUCAGAGCAAUCUAUGACACCAAAGAAU